rnacentral:rRNA from 1 species
GGGCCUAACACAUGCAAGUCGAGCGAGAAGGUACUUUCGGGUACUGGAGAGCGGCGGACGGGUUAGUAACGCGUGGGAACGUGCCUUAAGGUCUGGGAUAACUAUUGGAAACGAUAGCUAAUACCGGAUGGUCCCUUCGGGGUAAAGCUUUAGCGCCUUAAGAUCGGCCCGCGUUAGAUUAACUAGUUGGUGAGGUAACGGCUCACCAAGGCGACGAUCUAUAGCUGGUUUGAGAGGAUGAUCAGCAACACUGGAACUGAGACACGGUCCAGACUCCUACGGGAGGCAGCAGUGGGGAAUAUUGCGCAAUGGAGGAAACUCUGACGCAGCCAUGCCGCGUGAGUGAGGAAGGCCUUCGGGUUGUAAAACUCUUUCAACGGUGAAGAUGAUGACGGUAACCGUAGAAGAAGCACCGGCUAACUUCGUGCCAGCAGCCGCGGUAAUACGAAGGGUGCUAGCGUUGUUCGGAAUUACUGGGCGUAAAGGGCGUGUAGGCGGACAUAUCAGUCAGGGGUGAAAUCCCGGGGCUCAACCCCGGAACUGCCUUUGAUACUGUAUGUCUAGAAUCUGUGAGGGGAUAGUGGAAUAUCAAGUGUAGAG